rnacentral:lncRNA from 1 species
UUUUGUGAGCGAAAGGGAGCGAGACAUAUAUCACGRCUCCAGCCGCGGACGAGCCUGCGGCCGCGCGACUCGCUGCUGACAGAUCGGMACUGAUAACCCCGCGAUGUUCAUUUCCAGUCCCUUGGCUGAGGACCGUAUCACAGCGCCGCGCAGACCCCGGACUCGUGCUCUCUCACCGGCGCCCUCGGCCUCUCUCCGAGCCCAGGAGCACUCUCCGCCGCGGCCGUUCUCCAUGCUCAGCGCUCGCCCGAGGAGCUAAAAGCUAGCUA